AUGUUUCCAUCGCCGCCGCCCACCGCUCCUCCUCUCCUCUGCUACCCCCAACACGAGGAACCAACCUCCCGAAGCAACCGGGGCGGCAAGCGGCGGAAGGAUGGAGAGAUGGCGUCUGCGGCGACGGUGAAGGAGAUGGGGCGGGUGUCCUGCAUCUGGAUCAAGCACGAGGAGGAGCGGCGCGAGGCUUCCUGGAAGGAGCCCGAGGGCCGGGUCUUCUCCGCCACCACACGCACCGAUGUCGCCACGCUCCUCGGUGAGCCCCGUGACCAGAUCCUCGCCGGUCGUGCCUCCUUCGCCGACCUCGUCGCACAGCACCGGCUGCUGGGGACUGAAACGAACUCCACUUCACGCUCUGCUUUGGUGGAUCUCACUACGCUCAGGAGGUGUUCGACGAAAUGCAAAGCCAGGGAAAAACUAGAGAUGAGACACAGGUAG
rnacentral:rRNA from 1 species